rnacentral:sRNA from 1 species
AGAAAAAAUACAACAACAAAUCGACGGAAGUUUGUUCUGCAUGGCAAUUUAGUAAUUUUUGCCGCACACCUGCCACCUAUAUAUGAGAAGUGAAGAUGAUUACAAAAAUAAAUCAUAUAUUGAGUCUGCGCUCCACUUCUCAUAUCCUAUCUGCACUGGAUGUAAAACACGCAUGCGGCGCUGACUGGUGCGUUAACCAGUUUUUUAAAUAUAUAGCCCUUUCCAUCUGUUGAAAAUUGAGCAGCUGGUUUUU